ensembl:lncRNA
GCGACAGAUGCUAAAAUUUCAAAGAACCCACGAAGAAGAAGGAAGUCACGUGAUUCAGAGAAAGGCUCGUAAUCAAGUGAUGGUAAAGCCACCAGAUAGUCUAAAAAGUGACAUUUGGGUUUGAAAAUGGAUUAGAAGUCGCUCUUAGCUAACUGAGGGGGAUGCUAACCGGCUAAUAAAGAUUGUAAACGCUGAAUCCUUGAGGAACCGUUUGGGCCGAAUCUUUCCUGACAUGGACGUGAGCAUAGCUGUGUCGCUGAUUCGGGGUCAGAUGGGCACCGUGGUGGAGCGAGCGGUCAACGUUGCCGUGGAGACCGUUUUGGCAGAGAUGCUUAAAGUGGUGGGAGCCAAAUUUGAGGAGCUGAAAACCCAGGUGAUGCUGAUGAAGAGAGACAUGGCGGCUCUGCAGAGGGAGAAGGCGCUGAAGGAGAAGGAGAAUGACAACAUUAGAGCCAAACUGCGAUACACGGAACUGAAGUUGAAGUACUACCGCCAGGGCGUGGAGGAGGAGUUGCAGCAGAGAGCCUCUUCCUCCACUCUGGUCCGAAUUUACCCACCUGGAUUUGCACGAGUGCAGGGGGGCGAGGUCCUUCCUACUGAGCCCUCCCCAUCCUGCUCGGCUCAGAGGACCCCGGAUUCAGUGCUGGUGAAGAGCAGUCAAGAAUGCAGUUCUUCACAGAGCACAUGCAGGCGUGCGAGCAGAGCGGGCUGCCCGUCAGAUACAACAUGUUUGGACUUGAUGGAAUUGCGGCACAACGCUCCUGCAGAACCGCUGGACAGCAGCGCUGAUUUCCUUGCGGAACGUGACGUCUCUCCCACGGGAGGUCCUAUUGAGAGAGAAUGGAGCAUCUCUGUAGGGUCGCAUGCAGACGGCGUGGACGCCAUGGUGACCACUCCCUCCAUCCAGAAUCUGGCCAAUGAUUCAGGUCCUCCUCCAACAGGCAGCUCGCCAUCUCCACCAGCUAACAGCUGGAGCACGCCCUCCACUGCUGCACAGGUGAAGCAGGAGCUCCAUCCACAGGAGGAGGAGGAGGAGGAAGUGAUCUGCAUCAAAGAGGAGCCAGAGGAGCAGGAGGUGAUGCAGCAGAGUUAUCCUCCACAGUCAGAGGCUCCACUGUUGAUGUCAGAGAGGAAACCUUCAACAAGUCAGAUGAACCUGAACGUCUCCGUCAGCUCUGGAGGAUCAAAUACCUACGCUGCUUCUCAGCUGGCUGCCUCCCUGCCCCCGGGGGCGUUGCCCCGCCAGGCGCCGCAGCCUUGGACCAAAGACCUCAGCUUCUACGACGAGUUCAAGCUCCGCAGGAACGAGCUACGGCGGCGAAACCUGACCCGUCAGAGAGAACUGGAGAAGGAGCUACCUCAGCCGCUGCUGGCAAAUCUGGUGCAAGAGCGCCGAGAGAAGACCAGGCUGAGGGUGGCCAGAUGGAGAGCCAAGAGGAAACUGCAGGCUUAUCUGAACCAGACUCAGGCUCAGGCUGGAGCUGCUGCUGCUUCUCCUUCAGGAUUUCCAGGUCAGCAGCUUUCAGCUCCUUCUGCUUCCAGGAACCAGCAGAGGCAGAACGCCGGCAGCUUCCUCUGCAACACGGCUGCCAACAACAUGCCUGUCAUCCUCCCCCUCAUCUCCGCCUCGUCCUCCCCCCUCAUCCUGCAAUGUCCCAGCAUGCUCCCAAACGACCAGAGCGUGCCUUCGUCAUCCUCCUCCUCUUCCUCUUCAUACACGCAGAAAAACUCAUCCCAAUAUCUCCUGAUUCAAUGGGAAUCUAAAAAUAUUCCCAUGAGUACCUGGCAUCCCAGCAGAAAUCUGUGAGCGCCGUUCUGAGGAUGGACUCCGCCGCCACGUCAGACUUUUUGUGUGCCUGCGCCGCCGUGGAAACGCCUUCCUCCUGAAAACCAUCAACAGAUCUUCAUCACAUCGACCGCCGGCAGAGUUUUCCAAACCAGACGUUUACACGAUGAACCCACAACUGCUGCUGCCUUUGUAUCAGUUUUCUUUUUUAAUUUUGGUUAAAAGUUUUUAAAAUUUUGCAAAUUAAGAAGAUCAACAGGUUCACCAACUGAUAAUCAGUUUCAGGAAAAAGAUUUUAGUUUGAAACUUUUUGAAUCAUUAUGAUUCAAUAUCGUUUUGUUUUUUUCAAUUAUUUUAUUUAAUUUCUUUUUAAACGUUUUUUUUUUUUUUUUCGAGAAUUGCUAAAGUGUUUUCUUUUUGUCUCCACUGAAGCAUUUAAAGAUUUUUUUGCAUCGUUUCUUCUGCUGUUUUGUACUUUUGACCCUUAAUUUACAUGCAACAGCUCAGUCAGAUUUGUCAAAUGUACAGACUCACUUUUAUGUUGUAAGUUGAGGACCUUUUUUUUUUUUUUUAGCAUUCUUUGAGAUUAAAGAUUUUUUUUUGUUAGUUUGGUUUACCUAGUCAGAAAUUUGUGUAUAUUUAAAUGUUUUGCUAUUAUUCUUUUUUUUUUUUUUAUCAUUUUUAUACAAUUAAAGAUUUUUUUUGUUAGUGUGGCUUUCUUAAUUAUUAUUUAAUUUCUUUGAGCAUUUUUAAAAUUGUAGGCAGAUAAUAUAAAAAAUUUAGGGUUUAUUUUACUUUUCUUUUUGAUU